rnacentral:rRNA from 1 species
UACGUAGGGGGCAAGCGUUGUCCGGAAUCAUUGGGCGUAAAGAGCGUGUAGGCGGCCUGAUAAGUCGGUUGUGAAAGUCAAGGGCUCAACCCUUGAAUGCCGACCGAUACUGUCAGGCUAGAGUCCGGAAGAGGCGAGUGGAAUUCCUGGUGUAGUGGUGAAAUGCGCAGAUAUCAGGAGGAACACCUAUGGCGAAGGCAGCUCGCUGGGACGGUACUGACGCUGAGACGCGAAAGCGUGGGGAGCGAACAGG